GGAGAAAAAAACAAAACAGGGAGUUAUUGCCCACAUAUAAAAGAAAUUAAAAGGAUCAAAGCGAGGGAAUCACACUCACAUCAGGUCCCAAUUCUGCAAGUCCCGCGAUGCAGCCAUAACGUGUCGUCCACUGGGUUUUCUCAUCCAACCAACUCUGAGGAAACAGAAAAUGUAUGCAGGGCUUACCUGGUGGUGGAUUUUCUGGAAUAGAAGGCUCCACCCCCUCAAUGCUUAACCAGUGGGCUAUGGAUUAACAGACAAGUGUGACAAGUCUGACCUCUUCACUCAAUGCUACACAGCUCUCCUCCUGUAACUGACCCACUCCAACAGACUCUGCUAUGGCCUUCAUGGACUCCGUGGGCACGACGACCGAACAUUGCUUCUGCCGCCGCUCCUCUGCCAUGGCUGAAAAAA